rnacentral:rRNA from 1 species
UACGGAGGGUGCGAGCGUUGUCCGGAAUCACUGGGCGUAAAGGGCGCGUAGGCGGCCUGAUAAGUAGGGGGUGAAAUCCUGCGGCUUAACCGCAGGGCUGCCUUCUAAACUGUCAGGCUUGAGCACAGUAGAGGCAGGGUGGAAUUCCCGGUGUAGCGGUGGAAUGCGUAGAGAUCGGGAAGAACAUCAGUGGCGAAGGCGGCCUGCUGGGCUGUUGCUGACGCUGAGGCGCGACAGCGUGGGGAGCAA